GACAGAGGGUGCAAACGUUGUUCGGAAUUACUGGGCGUAAAGCGCGUGUAGGCGGCUAAGUAAGUCGGGCGUGAAAUCCCACGGCUCAACCGUGGAAGUGCACUCGAAACUGCAUAGCUAGAGUCCUGGAGAGGAAGGUGGAAUGCUUGGUGUAGAGGUGAAAUUCGUAGAUAUCAAGCGGAACACCGGUGGCGAAGGCGGCCUUCUGGACAGUGACUGACGCUGAGGCUCGAAAGCGUGGGUAGCGAACGGG
rnacentral:rRNA from 1 species